rnacentral:tRNA from 2 species
CGGAGUGUAGCGCAGCCUAGUAGCGCAUCGUUCGGGACGAUGGGGUCGCAGGUUCAAAUCCUGCCACUCCGACCA